rnacentral:snRNA from 1 species
AUCGCUUCUCGGCCUUUUGGCUAAGAUCAAGUGUAGUAUAUCAUAGUUUUGAAAUGCAGCUAUGUUAUCAGAUUGUUAAAAUGCCAAAAUUUUGUAUAUUGCUCUUUUAAAAGUUUGUGUUGUACCUGG